ACCACCUGGCCGGAGGUGACACGCCCGCGCCGCGCGGCCGGGACUCGAGAAAGGGAGUGGCAACGGGUUUUGCCUAGUCAUCGCCUGCGAAGACUCGCGUCACCUCUGAUGUCAGGGCUUCCAGAGGCUUCGUUCCAGUUCCGGGCUCCAGGAAAGAGCGUCGCGGGGCGCAGAGGUUACACAACUUCCCCCAAGGUCGCGUCGGAAAGGACCCGCAGGGCCGGAAUUCGAACCCGUCUCAGCGGGCAUGUACCCGCCUGCACGGUCGGCAGGUGGCCGGGCUCCGCGUAGCAUCCUCCCCAAAACCACCGCACAGCCCGCGCCGGCCUUGGCCUGGCUUCCUUCCUUCUCGUCCCUCAAAAGGUCUUUCAUGGUGUCUGUGUGGGUACAGAUGAUCAAAGACAAAUGAUGAUCACAGAAAAGCGGACCUCUGCCCCCCGCCAUGCCUUCAGAGCAAAGUGGAUUAAAAACUUCAAGAAUGACUGAAGUGAAUGUGUUUGCCAGCUCUGUGGAAUUGGGGGUUUGGCGUCAGAACUUCAGAUGAAGAAAAAUGCGGCACAGAGAUGUCAAGCAAGUUACCCAAGGUGGCAGGGCCAGGAGGUGGUGAAGUUGGGAUUCAAACUCUU